rnacentral:tRNA from 1 species
GGGCUCGUGGUUUAGUGGUAUAAUACUCCCUUAGCACCGAGAUGGCUGUUCAGAGCAACAUCCGUGUGAGCUUUGGGAGUGGUCCGGGGUUCGAUUCCCCGCGAGUCCA